UACAGAGGGGGCAAGCGUUAUUCGGAAUUAUUGGGCGUAAAGGGCGCGUAGGCGGCCUUUCAAGUGACGGGUGAAAGCCCUCGGCUUAACCGAGGAACUGCCUGUCAGACUGGAAGGCUUGAGACCGGGAGAGGUGAGUGGAAUUCCCAGUGUAGCGGUGAAAUGCGUAGAUAUUGGGAGGAACACCAGUGGCGAAGGCGGCUCACUGGACCGGUACUGACGCUGAGGCGCGAAGGCCAGGGGAGCAAACGGG
rnacentral:rRNA from 1 species